GUUUGGGCUUAACUACUUUGUGGUGUUUUCCUUUUCACUCUGGUGGUCCUUUUAUGUCUUUUAUCUUUAGCGCUUGCUACAUGGACAGACACAAAGCUGCAAGUUCAAUACCCCUUUGAAAGGGUCAGCUUCCUAGUGUUUGUCGAGAUUGCAGUGCACAAGAGAAAUAAAUGUCCUGUGGCCCUGGUACAAACGGAGAAAAAAAUUCCUGAGGCCCAAGAUGGGAGAAAGUCUAAAAGGAGAGGUGAGACAGAGCCAGUCCGAUUCAAAGGCGAGUUCCAGAAGCGGCAGGCACUCUGCCUCAGGCGCCAGGCCAGAACCUCGGACAGAUUCCACACUUCGCUCAGGGUCUGCCUUGAUCCCCAGGAGCAACGGGGUCCCCGAAGGCAGAAGACACUUCCACGACGUUCUUUGGAAUGACAGCUCUCCGGGGACAAGGGGAGGCAGGAAGAAGACGAGCACCCAGGACCCAGCUGGCACACCGCCCUCCCCCACGACCACGGCAGCCUCAAAAAGAGCUGACGGGACGUGUUAGGCAGAAGGCCACCCCAUUCAUCACAGACCCAGGCCGACGUCAUGGAAAGAGGAGCACAUGCUAGGAGAGGCCGGCCUCCCAGCUGGUCCUUCCAGUUGUGAAAUCGAGAACCCCGGUGGCUGUUACCCACCCAGGCAAGUGCAGCUUCUUGAACUCCCACCCGAGGCGCCCCCCCGCCCUACUGCUGCCCAGAUCAUGUGUCCCUAGGCUUGGGGCAGGAAGGGAGACGGCCCACUGCAGCCCACGCCUCCCCUUGCUAACUUUUCAGCAGACCGACAAGAAAUGGUGCGCCCCUCCAGCUCCUCGGAACUCCCCAGGUGCUUCUGAGCCCCAGGGAGCUCUAAAGGCGGGGGCCCCAUCCCACUCGGGGCGGCCCCCAUCCUCCUCCUCGCUCACACAUGCACCAUUAAAUGGCCCUGCCUCCCCACAGUGCAUGCUUGCUGCUGCCCCCCACCGCGCCAGGAGCGAAUGAAGCCCCCCAGGCCCCUCAGAGAGAGUGGGGGCCUGGCUGGUGAACGUCCGCCAAGGGCUCUGUGCAGAGGGAAGGCCUGGGGAGCCCUCCUCACCCCAGCGGCCCUGUCAGCAGGAAGAAGGCCGCAGGCGGGGAGCCUCCCACCCACAACCUCUGUGGCACCCUGCUGCCCCGGCACAGGCCUCAGACUCCGACCCACGUAGAUCCGAAUCUCUGCACACCCCACUGCCCGCUCAGGGGUUGAAACCUGCCCCCCGGAGCCUCACUGUACUGCGUGCUCCUCCAACAUGCUGCUCCGCCUGGAACUCUGUCCCCGGGCAGAGCUACUCAGCAAGGGCACAGCGCUGUGCUCCCUUUCCUUGUCCUAAUCACCACCUUUCCUGCGCCCUCCUUCCACCCAGCCGCUGGGUCGGCCCCGCCCAUCCCCGCUGCCUCUCCCACAGAACGUCUGAGGUCCAGGCCUUCCUGCCUGGCUCCUUUCCCGGCCGCCCCCUUCCUGCCUCUGGCCCACAGCAGUUCAUUACAGGACACAUGUCCCGGGUGCCCGCAACGGGCCAGGCACUGCGGGCCACUCAGGAGGAAUGGGUGAGCGAGCCGAGAUCCCUGCCCGCACGGAGCUCCCGUUUCCCGGGGAGGAGGGACAACCAUCGGCAGCGAGACUGUGCCUGGAGAGCAGCGGAGGCAUCACAGGUUUCCUUACAGGCCCCAGCCCCAGCCGAGGUGCAGACAGGACCUCCAAACCUGCUGGAUGCAACCUGAAAUGCACGUGGGUCUGUCUGUCUCCUGUCCCUCGUGCAGCUCCGGGAACAAGGGGCAUCAAAGAAGGCGACAAGACACCACCACCUGCACUGCCCACCUUGUCUUGGAAAUGCAGCGAUGGCGUGCUCCCCCGGGGAAAAUGAGACCCCGGGGGCUUUGCGGGCCUGUAAGGGGCGAGGUAUUUAUACCCUUUCGGUCUCUCCCGCCCUCUCCAGUGAACUCACAGCGGGAUUCCCGAGGAGGCCCCAGGGUGACGGUGCCAGUACAGCCGAGGGGCUGGGUCAGCCGCAGAGAAACGACAGUCAGAAGAGUCUGCCUGUGGUUUCUCCCAUCGCCUCCGGCACAUCCCUCCCCAGCUCCCCAGCCUCCCCUCCUGAAUGUGCGUUUCCAAAUCUUAUGCCCAGCGGCCUCCCUUCUAAACCACACUCGAGGCCUCUGGUGAGCUGCCUCUGAGGUCUUUCUGCUUCAAGAGGGCGGGCGACCCUUUGGGUAGCUGGGGAGUCGGGAACAAUCGUCCCUGACAACAGGCGUCUGACACAGUACGUGAGGUGUCCGCACUGACUGUUCCGUUAGAUGCCAGUGACCCCCCUGCGAGGAGACACGGCCCUCCCGCACAUUUCCCAGGCUACAGUACAGUGUGAGCGUAACCUGUGCGCACCGGGAGACCAAAACAUUCUGGGGCUUCCCCUCCACAGCUCCGAGGUAUGCCUGCCCUCGAAAGAAUGCUCAAAAAUACAUGUGCACGCCUUAAUUUGAAAGUACUUUGUUGCAACAACAAAAAAGCUAGCCAUCAGCAGUUUGGAAUUGUUUUGCUGGUGGGGGGUCAUCUCACCUUGACAUUGACGGUGCUGACUGACCAGGGUGGUGGCUGUGGAGGAUGGGGUGGCUGUGGCCAUCCCUUAAGAUAAGACAGCAAUGAAGUCCGCAGCAUCAGUGGACGCUUCCUUUCACGAACGAUUUCUCUGGUUGCUGUUGGACAGCAUUUUAUCCACUGGUGCAUUUCUUUCAACACUUGGAGCUGAUCCUCUCAGACGCUGUCGCUGUUUAUUAACUAAAUUUAUGGAAUAUUCUAAGUCUUUUGUUGUCACUUCAACCAUCUUCACAGCAUCUUGGCCCGGAGGAUCUUGCAUCUCAAGGAGCCACUUUCUCUGCUCAUCCAGAGGAAGCAACUCCUCAUUGUUCAAGUUUGAUCAUGAAGAUCGGUCACAUCUUCAGGCUCCACUUCUAAUUCCAGUUCUCUGGUUGUUUCCACCACGUCUGCAGUGACUUCCUCCACGGAAGUCUUGAAGCUCUCAAAGUCACCCAUGAGGGUCGGAAUCAGCUUCUUCUGAACUCCUGCUCAUGGUGAUAUUUUGGCCUCUCCCCAUGAAUCAUGAAUGUUCUCCUUUUUUAAGAUUUUAUUUAUUUAAUUUUAGACAGAGGGGAAGGGAGG